AGAACACAGGUGCUGCAUGGCUGUCGGUCAGCUCGUGUCGUGAGAUGUUGGGUUAAGUCCCGCAACGAGCGCAACCCUUGUCAUUAGUUGCCAUCAUUUAGUUGGGCACUCUAAUGAGACUGCCGGUGACAAACCGGAGGAAGUGGGGAUGACGUCAAGUCCUCAUGGCCCUUAUGGGUAGGGCUUCACACGUCAUACAAUGGUCGGUACAGAGGGUUGCCAAGCCGCGAGGUGGAGCAAAUCCUAAAAAGCCGGUCUCAGUUCGGAUUGCAGGCUGCAAUUCGCCUGCAUGAAGUCGGAAUCGCUAGUAAUCGCAGGUCAGCAUACUGCGGUGAAUACGUUCCCGGGCCUU
rnacentral:rRNA from 1 species